ACUCACCAGGUCAGGACACGGUAAGGAUUGACGGACUGAAGGCUCUUUCUCGAUUCCGUGGAAAGUGGUGCAUGGCCGUUUUUGGUUGGUGGAUCGAUCCGUCUGGUUAAUUCCGUUAACGAACGAGACCUCGGCACUCCGAAUAGCGCGGCGGACGUCGCGGCCUCCGGGCCGUCUUCCGCACGAGCUUCUUAGAGGGACCGUCCCCCGCCGGGGAAGGAGGUGCGAGGCAACGACAGGUCUGUGAUGCCCCUUAGAUGUUCUGGGCCGCACGCGCAUUACACUGACGCGUCCAACGGGUGACUCCCGACCCGAAGGGGCCGGGGAAUCCGCAAGGCGCGUCGUGAUGGGGAUUGAACGUUGCAAUUGUUGUUCACGAACGAGGAAUUCCUAGUAGGCGCGGGUCAUCAACCCGCGCCGAUUACGUCCCUGCCC
rnacentral:rRNA from 1 species